rnacentral:rRNA from 1 species
UAACACAUGCAAGUCGAACGAUAUAGUGGCAGAUGGGUGAGUAACGCGUGGGAACGUACCUUUCACUACGGAAUAGCUCUUGGAAACGAGUGGUAAUACCGUAUACGCCCUUCGGGGGAAAGAUUUAUCGGUGAAAGAUCGGCCCGCGUUAGAUUAGCUAGUUGGUAGGGUAAUGGCCUACCAAGGCGACGAUCUAUAGCUGGUCUGAGAGGAUGAUCAGCCACACUGGGACUGAGACACGGCCCAGACUCCUACGGGAGGCAGCAGUGGGGAAUCUUGCACAAUGGGCGAAAGCCUGAUGCAGCCAUGCCGCGUGAAUGAUGAAGGCCUUAGGGUUGUAAAAUUCUUUCGCUAGGGAUGAUAAUGACAGUACCUAGUAAAGAAGCCCCGGCUAACUUCGUGCCAGCAGCCGCGGUAAUACGAAGGGGGCUAGCGUUGUUCGGAAUUACUGGGCGUAAGCGCACGUAGGCGGACUUUUAAGUCAGAUGUGAAAUCCCGGGGCUCAACCUCGGAACUGCAUUUGAAACUGGAAGUCUAGAGACCAGGAGAGGUUAGCAGAAUACCGAGUGUAGAGGUGAAAUUCGUAGAUAUUCGGUGGAACACCAGUGGCGAAGCCGGCUAACUGGACUGGUACUGACGCUGAGGUGCGAAAGUGUGGGGAGCAAACAGGAUUAGAUACCCUGGUUGUCCACACGGUAAACGAUGAGAGCUAGUUGUUGGCAGGCAUGCCUGUCGGUGACGCAGCUAACGCAUUAAGCUCUCCGCCGGGGGAGUACGGUCGCAAGAUUAAACUCAAAGAAAUUGACGGGGGCCCGCACAAGCGGUGGAGCAUGUGGUUUAAUUCGAAGCAACGCGCAGAACCUUACCUACCCUUGACAUACCGAUCGCGGUUUUCCAGAGAUGGAUUCCUUCAGUUAGGCUCGAUCGGAUACAGGUGCUGCAUGGCUGUCGUCAGCUCGUGUCCUGAGAUGUUGGGUUAAGUCCCCGCAACGAGCGCAACCCUCAUCGUUAGUCGCCAUCACGUUUGGGUGGGCACUCUAAGGAAACUGCCGGUGGUAAGCCGGAGGAAGGUGGGGAUGACGUCAAGUCCUCAUGGCCCUUACGGGUAGGGCUACACACGUGCUACAAUGGCAGUGACAAUGGGUUAAUCCCCAAAAACUGUCUCAGUUCGGAUUGUCGUCUGCAACUCGACGGCAUGAAGGUGGAAUCGCUAGUAAUCGUGGAUCAGCAUGCCACGGUGAAUACGUUCCCGGGCCUUGUACACACCGCCCGUCACAUCAUGGGAAUUGGUUCUACCCGAAGACGCUGUGCUAACUUCGGAGGCAGGCGGCCACGGUAGGAUCAGUGACUGGGAUG